rnacentral:pre_miRNA from 1 species
CACAUACUCCCUCCGUUCGGAAUUACUUGCCGCAGAAAUGGAUGUAUCUAGAUGUAUUUUAGUUCUAGAUAUAUUCAUUUCUGAGACAAGUAAUUCCGAACGGAGGAAGUAUGUG